rnacentral:rRNA from 1 species
UACGUAGGGACCAAGCGUUGUCCGGAUUUAUUGGGCGUAAAGAGCUCGUAGGCGGCUCAGUAAGUCGGAUGUGAAAACUCGGGGCUCAACCCCGAGACGCCAUCCGAUACUGCUGUGGCUUGAAUCUGGUAGGGGAGCACGGAAUUCCUGGUGUAGCGGUGAAAUGCGCAGAUAUCAGGAGGAACACCGGCGGCGAAGGCGGUGCUCUGGGCCAGUAUUGACGCUGAGGAGCGAAAGCGUGGGUAGCAAACAGG